GUACAUAUAGCUUAUCUAAAGCAUUUCAUUUACACUGAAAAAAAGUCCGUUAAACCCGGUCUACUUAGA
rnacentral:tRNA from 1 species